UUUUAUUUGAGAGUUUGAUCCUGGCUCAGGAUGAACGCUGGCGGCGUGCCUAACACAUGCAAGUUGAGCGAUUUACUUCGGUAAAGAGCGGCGGACGGGUGAGUAACGCGUGGGUAACCUACCCUGUACACACGGAUAACAUACCGAAAGGUAUGCUAAUACGGGAUAAUAUAUUUGAGAGGCAUCUCUUGAAUAUCAAAGGUGAGCCAGUACAGGAUGGACCCGCGUCUGAUUAGCUAGUUGGUAAGGUAACGGCUUACCAAGGCGACGAUCAGUAGCCGACCUGAGAGGGUGAUCGGCCACAUUGGAACUGAGACACGGUCCAAACUCCUACGGGAGGCAGCAGUGGGGAAUAUUGCACAAUGGGCGAA
rnacentral:rRNA from 1 species